UCUACGGGGGGCAGCAGUGAGGAAUAUUGGUCAAUGGGCGCGAGCCUGAACCAGCCAAGUAGCGUGAAGGAUGACUGCCCUACGGGUUGUAAACUUCUUUUAUAAAGGAAUAAAGUGAGGCACGUGUGCCUUUUUGUAUGUACUUUAUGAAUAAGGAUCGGCUAACUCCGUGCCAGCAGCCGCGGUAAUACGGAGGAUCCGAGCGUUAUCCGGAUUUAUUGGGUUUAAAGGGAGCGUAGAUGGGUUGUUAAGUCAGUUGUGAAAGUUUGCGGCUAAACCGUAAAAUUGCAAUUGAAACUGGCUGUCUUGAGAUGUCGAGAGGUAUGCGGAAUGCGCAGUGUAGCGGUGAAAUGCUUAGAUAUUGCGCAGAACUCCGAUUGCGAAGGCAGCAUACCGGCGGCGAUCUGACGCUGAGGCACGAAAGCGUGGGUAUCGAACAGGAUUAGAUACCCUGGUAGUC
rnacentral:rRNA from 1 species